ACUCAAUAGAUACCCCGGUAGUCCACGCCCUAAACGAUGUCUACUAGUUGUCGGGUCUUAAUUGACUUGGUAAACGCAGCUAAACGCGUGAAGUAGACCGCCUGGGGAGUACGGUCGCAAGAUUAAAACUCAAAGGAAUUGACGGGGACCCGCACAAGCGGUGGAUGAUGUGGAUUAAUUCGAUGCAACGCGAAAAACCUUACCUACCCUUGACAUGGAAGGAGUCCCUGAGAGAUCGGGGAGUGCUCGAAAGAGAACCUUUACACAGGUGCUGCAUGGCUGUCGUCAGCUCGUGUCGUGAGAUGUUGGGUUAAGUCCCGCAACGAGCGCAACCCUUGUCAUUAGUUGCUACGAAAGGGCACUCUAAUGAGACUGCCGGUGACAAACCGGAGGAAGGUGGGGAUGACGUCAAGUCCUCAUGGCCCUUAUGGGUAGGGCUUCACACGUCAUACAAUGGUACAUACAGAGGGCCGCCAACCCGCGAGGGGGAGCUAAUCCCAGAAAGUGUAUCGUAGUCCGGAUUGUAGUCUGCAACUCG
rnacentral:rRNA from 1 species